UUAUCCCCGAACUUGUUUUUAUAUUUUUUACCCCCUUUUGUAAUGACCAGGUAAAGAAACCAUGUUAAAAUUUGUCCCACGCAUACGCACCUAUACAAGACCAAAAAAGUGGGGUCUUAUGUCCAUUAUUUUACUUUAUGCUUUCAGAUCCAAAACCGGCCGGACCCUCUUUAUCUCUCAACCCGUUUGUACUUGUUAUUCAGCCAAAUCAUUCUAUUUAUAUUUUUAUUUAUUUUGUGAAUCAACAUUACCCACUUGUGUACUCAAGUUUAUUUCUUUGUUUGCUCUUGUAAUUUUGUCAUAAAGUGAAGAGAUCCGAGAAUUAUUCAUAAUUGGUUUUGUGAGGGUUUGGAGCUAGUUUGGGUGAUUAUUGGUGACAUUCGGGGGUUUGUGCACUUUACACCGGGUCAGAAUUAUUCAUGUAAUGUCGGGUAGCUGAUGGAUGUAUUACCAGGAAGAAUUAUUUUUAUUAUAUUAACCCAUCUUCAAAGAUUUGAUAGAUUUACGGUUCAGAACAGAGGUAUGAUGGGGUUACUAGGCUUUGUUGGAGUUUGCAAGUGGACUUGGUGAUAUUUUACUGAUGGUAGCUAUUCAGAAAGUUCUAAUGGGUUAUGCGUAACUUGGUGAUGUAUUGAGAAGGUUCAAAUGGUUAUGGGAAGUCUUAGUGAAGUAAUCAUUAGGGUGAUGCGCAUAGUAUGUUUUUUGAAGAUUUAAGAGGAAUUGGACUAUGGGUUAUGACUCAGUAGCUUCAGCUCGAUGAAAUGAAACUAACAAAUUUAAUUAGCGCAAUCGGCCUUGGAUAAGGUCAGUUUUGAUGGAAAUGCUUAGAAUUGGCUCAGAACAAGCACAUAGUCUAUUCUAGUCAAAGGGAGUCAUGAUUUAGGCUUGCAGUGUGUGAAAACAUGUUUUCUAUGGAUUCUUGGUGCUAAGACGACUUUAGUAGGUGAGGAAAAAAAUAAGUACAAUUAGAGUAUUUCACCGGUAUAAGUUUGGCAAUGGAUUGCGGCUACAACUAAAGGAAUGUGGUGCCUACGAGGAAAUUUGUGGAAUCAAUCAAUUGCGUUCAUGAGUGUGGUUAUAAUUAAAAUCAGGGAAUUCGAGCGGAGUCAGUUCAAAUACAUGAGGAUCAGCUGUGAAACAAAGUUCGAGAAUGGAAAAAUGGAAAUUUGGGUCUUUGAGCUAAGUUAAAGGAAGUUUUGACUGAUAAAGUGAACAAGGCCGCUAUCAGCAUUAUUCUUGCUCGUGGAGGCUUUCAUGUGGUUUAUGACGGGGUUUCUUCAGCUACUUGACAACUUUGGUGCUUUCCUCAAAAUACCAAAGGUGCCAAGGGAUAAAUACCACUGAAGGGCUUUCUACAACCUGAAAUAACAACUCUAAAUUGGUUGAGGGGAGAAAAGUGGCCGGAAAUAGAAACAGUUUGAUAAAUCCGGAAGAGGGAGCUGAUGAAACUAACCAGUAGACUAGUACAGGGGAAUAUGAAGGUAAGAGAGCUAUGGGGUUGACUGAGAAACAUGACAAUGCAGCAAACAUAGAGGAUUGAAACCAAACGCAGCCUAUGGAGGUAACCAAUUAUGGUUCGCGAGAGAAGGAAGUUGUUGAUGGUUGGAAUGACACGGGCGUGGGAACUUCUGGUGGCAUUAAAACGACUUCAACACAUUGUUUUGAUAUUAGCUUGCAGGAAAAAGAUAUGCGCUUACAACUGCAACCUGAUAAAACUAGCUGUAACGACAUACUGAGGAAGGAAAAGGACAAAGACGUACUAACAAGAAGGAGUUGUAAGAAGGCAUGAAUGAGACUACCACAAUCGCUAAUCAGAUGGAAGUUCAUAAAGCAAUCACAAACAUACAAGGGAAAAAUGACCAGACGGUAUUGUAAUGUUUGAAGAUGCUAGCUUACAAAAGGAGAAAAAGAUGGCAAGCAUUAUUGGAGUGGCAGCUAUGAAAAGCUGUGGUCAUUUGCUUCAAGAUCUUGGUACCCCAAUUCAAUUUGUUGGGAAGGCCAUCACCGCUGAAGCACUAGCAAUUCGUGAAGCAUUGAAAAACGCUAAGGAAAUGGAUGGUAAAAAGUGCAAAUCUUGUCUGAUGCAAAAACUGUGGUGGAUAUGAUAUUGAAAAGAAGUGUAGUUUCAUGAGAGAUAGAGACUACUUGUGAAGAUAUCUGGAAGCUUAUGAGUUUCUUUGAAGUUGUCCAUGUUGUCUAUAUUCCUAGAGCAUGGAAUAUGCUAGCGCACAAUUUAGCUAAGUUUUCUAAUUCGUUGUUUCGUAAAGUUAUUUGAGUUUUUGGUUUCCUUAGUUGGACUAUAACUGAUGCCACUGCAUCAUUUAACUUUUUGAAACUGUUCGUAUAUUAAUAAAAUAAAGUCGUUUAUUGAAAGAGAAAAAGAAAAAAAAGAGAGAGAAACCAAAACAAACAAACAAAAAACAGAGGAGGCCCUUUACCUCACAUUGUACUU